GGUGAGAUAACUGGGUCAAAUGGUAGUUGCAUUCCAAAUUUUUGAGGAAUCUCCAUACUGCUUUCCAUAGUGGUUGCACCAAUUUGCUGUCCCACCAGCAAU
rnacentral:pre_miRNA from 1 species